UGAGGAAUAUUGGGCAAUGCCCGCAAGGGUGUCCCAGCAACGCCGCGUGGAGGAUGAAGGCCGUAAGGUUGUAAACUCCUGUUAGAGGAGAAGAAUAGUACCGAUUGGAUCGGUAUUUGACUGUACCCUCAGAGAAAGCCCCGGCUAACUACGUGCCAGCAGCCGCGGUAAUACGUAGGGGGCAAGCGUUGUCCGGAUUUACUGGGUGUAAAGGGCGCGCAGGCGGGAUAGCAAGUCAGAGGUGAAAUCCUACAGCUUAACUGUAGAACUGCCUUUGAUACUGUUAUUCUUGAGUUCGGGAGAGAGAGACGGAAUUCCAGGUGUAGUGGUGAAAUACGUAGAUAUCUGGAAGAACACCAGUUGCGAAGGCGGUCUCUUGGUCCGAUACUGACGCUGAGGCGC
rnacentral:rRNA from 1 species